CUUACCGGAUAGAUGGACAACUUUAGUCAAAACAGCUGAUCUUCGCGCAGACAAAAGAAGGGAAAGGGAAAUGGACAGAAAUACGAGGUGCCCGAAGAUAUUCUUGCAAGGGUCAAAACUCUCGAGACAAAAGAAGGGGAAAGGGACAGGAGUACGAGGUGCCCGAGGAUAUUCUUACAAAGGUCAAAACUCUCGAGGCUAUGUGGAAGAAAGACAAAACAGCUGGUGCCCCAAAGAAAAAAGGGGAAAGAGAAAGGGGAACAAGGUGCCAGAAACUUCUUGAAGCUGAACUUAUUUGAAAUAUGAAGUGAGUGGUCAAUGAAAGAUAGACAACUUGGUGCAAUAAGUUAAAUGAAACUAGAUGUAGUUUAAAUGAUUUUCCUAA